CCCGCUGAGUUUAAGCAUAUCAAUAAGCGGAGGAAAAUAAACUAACAAGGAUUCCCUUAGUAACGGCGAGCGAACCGGGAAGAGCCCAACUUGAAAAUCGGACAUCUUUGGCGUUCGAAUUGUAGUUUGGAGAAGCGUCCUCAGCGACGGACCGGGCCCAAGUUCCCUGGAAAGGGGCACCAGAGAGGGUGAGGGCCCCGUUGUGCCCGGACACUGUCGCACCACGAGGCAUUGUCUAUGAGUCGGGUUGUUUGGGAAAGCAGCCCCAAUCGGGCUGUAAAUUCCGUUCAAGGCUAAAUAUGGGCGAGAGACCGAUAGCGAACAAGUACCGCGAGGUAAAGAUGAAAAGGACUUUGAAAAGAGAGUCAAAGAGUGCUUGAAAUUGUCGGGAGGGAAGCGGAUGGGGGCCGGCGAUUCGUCCCGGUCGGAUGCGGAACGGAGCAAUCUAGUCUGCCGAUCAAUUCGGCCCGUGGACCGACGUGGAUUAAGGUGGUGACCUAAGCCUGGGCUUUUGUUACGCCCGCGGCGACGUCGCUGCCUUAAUCGUGGUCUGCAGCACGCCCCUCCCAGCGUGGCUCGGCAUCUGCAUGCUCAGGGCGUCGGCCUGUGGGAUCCCCAUUCGACCCGUCUUGAAACACGGACCAAGGAGUCUGACAUGUGUGCGAGUCAACGGGUGAGUAAACCCAUAAGGGGCAAGGAAGCUGAUUGGCUGGAUCCCUCACAGGUGCACAGCCGACCGAUCUUGAUCUUCUGAGAAGGGUUCGAGUGUGAGCAUGCUUGUCGGGACUCGAAAGAUGGUGAACUAUGCCUGAGCGGGGCGAAGCCAGAGGAAACUCUGGUGGAGGCCCUCAGCGAUACUAAUGUGCAAAUCGUUCAUCUGACUUGGGUAUAGGGGCAAAAGACUAAUCGAACCAUCUCUACCGAUACCUAUUUCAUCAUCUUCAGACUCCUCGCCGCCAUCUACUCCGGCACCACUUCCGACUCCUAGCUUUGAGGCUACACCUUCAGGCUCUAGCUUUGAGACUGACCCAUCUGAAAGGUCAUAUGAUCAGACAGCGGAGCACAUUCCUUUGCCUCCAGACCCGUACUUUAUGGA
rnacentral:ncRNA from 1 species